UGACAAGAAUAAACUUAUAUAUAUAGAUACAGCAGCAGCCCCACUCGUAUAGGGUCUGGGGCAACAAUAAUUACCUCGUUCAGCUGCUGCAGCAGCACCACUCCUAUGGUUGAGGACAAGAAUAAUGACCUGAUUCAGCAGCAGCACCGCAACUUCUACAUAGACGUGGGAGGGACAAGAAUAAACUGGCUGGGACAAGUAUUAACACCCUGCUACAAUAGCAGCACCACGACUUUUCCCCGUUUCAAUCAUGUCAUUGCUACUAUCCCCAUUGGUACUACUAGUAUUAUUCUUCAGUAUCUCACUCCAAACUUGCCAAGCCAAUUCCCAGUGUAUCAAGGGCUGUGACUUAGCUUUAGCAAACUACUAUGUCUGGGAAGGCUUAACCACGGCCUUCCUUUCCCAACUUUUCAGCAUCCCAGUUUCUACUAUUAACUCCUGGAAUCCAGUUAAUUCCCCGGACCAGUAUAUAGUCCAAGCCAAGACAAGAAUAAACAUCCCUUUUACUUGUGACUGCAUCAAUGGAGAUUUCUGGCUCAUAUCUUCAGUUACAAUGUUUCACAGGGGGACACGUAUGAUUUAAUUGCAAAUACUUAUUAUUCUAAUUUGACUAGUUCUACUGGCCUGCAGAGAUGGAAUAGAUAUCCAGGAAAUGCAAUCCCGGUUAAUAGUGUCCUGAAUGUGACCGUUAAUUGUUCUUGUGGGGAUAAGGCAAUUUCCAAGGAUUAUGGAUUGUUUGUAACUUGGCCCAUAAGGGACGGAGAUACUUUGGACUCUGUGGCUGCUGCAAACAAUUUGAGUGCUGAUGUUGUCAGGAGAUAUAAUCCAACAGCUAGUUUUAAUGAAGAAGGUCAUCAGUUAUUCAUUCCAGGAAAAGAUGAAAGUGGAAGCUAUCGGCCUUUGAGUUCAGGAUCAGGAUUGUCUGCUGGAGCUAUUGCUGGGAUAUCUGUGGCAGUUCCGGGACUGCUGUUCUUUGCUGCUGCUUGCUUGUAUUUUGUGGUUGACAGAAUGAGGAAGGCACUCAAAAUAUCUCCUAAAGAUCAAUUUAAGCGAGCUGCUUCG